UAAAUCCCACAUUCCCACAAUGCACCUUGGUAAUGCCACUCUUCUCUGUCCCUAAUCCCCCUAUUCCCUUCCCUCAGGUCCUCCUGGACACCCCAACCCACAGUCAGGCCUCCUCAUACAUCCCACUCAUUUACAUGCUGAGCUAGUUCUUCAGGGACCCCCACAGCCCAGCAAACUUCUCCAUCCAUGAGCCCCAUGGACAGGAAGGGUGGGGUGUGGUUUUGGCCGAAGAUGAGGUGUUUUGGUAGCCCUGUGGAUGCUGAGUGGUAUCUGGAAUGGGGCGUGUGUGUUCCCAUCAUGCCCCUUCCCCUCUGCCUGCAGAGCUGAGGACAGACAGGUCUGAGGAGCAGAGCAGGAGCUCUGGGAAGGAGAAGAGCAAUAUGAAGAUGGAGUCUAAGAUGAGGCCAGCAAGGGAAAAGAA